AGAGUUUGAUCAUGGCUCAGAGCGAACGCUGGCGGCAGGCCUAACACAUGCAAGUCGAACGAAGUCUUCGGACUUAGUGGCGGACGGGUGAGUAACACGUGGGAACGUGCCUUUAGGUUCGGAAUAACUCAGGGAAACUUGUGCUAAUACCGAAUGUGCCCUUCGGGGGAAAGAUUUAUCGCCUUUAGAGCGGCCCGCGUCUGAUUAGCUAGUUGGUGAGGUAAAGGCUCACCAAGGCGACGAUCAGUAGCUGGUCUGAGAGGAUGAUCAGCCACAUUGGGACUGAGACACGGCCCAAACUCCUACGGGAGGCAGCAGUGGGGAAUCUUGCGCAAUGGGCGAAAGCCUGACGCAGCCAUGCCGCGUGAAUGAUGAAGGUCUUAGGAUUGUAAAAUUCUUUCACCGGGGACGAUAAUGACGGUACCCGGAGAAGAAGCCCCGGCUAACUUCGUGCCAGCAGCCGCGGUAAUACGAAGGGGGCUAGCGUUGCUCGGAAUUACUGGGCGUAAAGGGAGCGUAGGCGGACAUUUAAGUCAGGGGUGAAAUCCCGGGGCUCAACCUCGGAAUUGCCUUUGAUACUGGAUGUCUUGAGUGUGAGAGAGGUAUGUGGAACUCCGAGUGUAGAGGUGAAAUUCGUAGAUAUUCGGAAGAACACCAGUGGCGAAGGCGACAUACUG
rnacentral:rRNA from 1 species